rnacentral:rRNA from 1 species
CCUACGGGAGGCAGCAGUGGGGAAUAUUGGGCAAUGGGCGCAAGCCUGACCCAGCAACGCCGCGUGAAGGAAGAAGGCUCUCGGGUUGUAAACUUCUUUUAUCAGGGACGAAGCAAGUGACGGUACCUGAUGAAUAAGCCACGGCUAACUACGUGCCAGCAGCCGCGGUAAUACGUAGGUGGCAAGCGUUAUCCGGAUUUACUGGGUGUAAAGGGCGUGUAGGCGGGAAAGCAAGUCAGAUGUGAAAACCAUGGGCUCAACCUGUGGCCUGCAUUUGAAACUGUUUUUCUUGAGUACUGGAGAGGCAGACGGAAUUCCUAGUGUAGCGGUGAAAUGCGUAGAUAUUAGGGGGAACACCAGGGGCGAAGGCGGGCUGCUGGACAGCAACUGACGCUGAGGCGCGAAAGCGUGGGGAGCAAACAGGAUUAGAUACCCGGGUAGUC